GGAGGAGUGGCCGAGUGGCUUAAGGCGCUGCUCUCGAAAAGCAGUAUCCUGAAGGGGAUCGUGGGUUCAAAUCCUACCUCCUCCGCCA
rnacentral:tRNA from 1 species